CUAUCCACCGGUCCUGGGAAUCAUCAUGAGGCUCACCUGGACUCUCCAUUACCUCACUCAUUACCUCCCCUUUAUCUGGCACUCCCUUAGGUUCCUUCCCCAGCUUUUACUCACCUUCGGCACCUGUAAAUAAGUACCACCAUUUUGUACCUGAAUCCUACCUGAUUCCUGAUGUUUGACAUCCCCCUGAUAAGACUGCACGGUUCACUAUCCUACAGCCGGAGUAACAUCAAAGGGAAACUUCAGCAGAAUAACUGAUCUUUACAACAGCCCUGAAGACAGACAGGACGUGAAGUGUUGCAGCAUGGGUGGUGCUGUGGCAUGUUUCCCUCCCUGUGUCAGAUGGUGCUUAUCAGAUUCAGAGAGGAAGGCCUACACAGUGUGACGGUUAGUUAGGCCUUCUACUGCUGCUGUGUCUGUACUGGAUCAAAUCCAUGUCCUCCACCCCCACACAGUAAGGGAGAGUGGGGUAAGUUGAGACAUGUUUUUUUACAUACAGCAUCACUACGUCAAGGGAAAUAUAGUUUUCUUUCUAACAAAGAUAUCUACAUAUAUUUCAGGAUGUUGUGUAUCCCUGGAAAUAAUCUGAAUGAAUGUAAACAUAACAGGUUUGAAAACAUAGCUCAUCCAAAAAAAGGUGGUCUCAGGUAUGGGGUAAAUUGGGCAUGAGGACGGGGUAAGUUGAGCUGUCUUAGGGUAAGUAGGUGGUGACAGUGGGUGAUGCUAUUAAAUCAAGGAAUGUGGGUGUGGUAUAUUUUGUAUUGCAUGCUUACAUUCAGAUAUAGAUCGCUCUGUUCAAUGUCACAUGAUACGUCACAUGAUACGUCACAUGAUACGUCACAUGAUACGUCACAUGAUACGUCACAUGAUACGUCACAUGAUACGUCCAUUUCUUCACCAGAUGUCUGGGACAGGGUUGUUGUUUUGAUGUGCCAAUUCAUAGAUACGUUCUCUGUAUUUGAGGCUACUUAGCCCAUGAAACUGCUCCGUGAGAUUCUUGAUAUGUUUAUGAAGCUCAGACUCCAUGUCAUCAGAUACAGGGCCUUCAGAAAGUAUUCAUACCCCCUUGACUUAUUCCACAUUUUGUUGUAUUACAGGCUGACUUCAACAUGGAUUAAAUGUAUCUUUUUUUUCCCUCACCCAUCUACACACAAUACCCCAUAAUGAUAAAGUGAAAACAUGUUUAUAGAAAGUUUAGCAAAUUUAUUGAAAGUGAAAUUUCAAGUCUUGCCAUAGAUUUUCAAGUCUAUUUUCAAGUCUAUUUUCAAGUCUAUUUCAAAUCUGUAACUAGGCCACUCAGGAACAUUCAAUGUUGUCUUGGUAAGCAACUCCAGUGUUUAUUUGGCCUUGUGUUUUAGG